GAACGCACAUUGCACCCUCUGGUAUUCCGGAGGGUAUGCCUGUUUGAGUGUCAUUAAUAUCUCAACACAGACAAGUUUUAUGACUUGCACUGAUGCUUGGAUGCUGAAGGUUGCUGGCAAUAUUUGUCAGCUCCUUUUAAAUGUAUUAGCAGAAACCUAUGCAAAAAGCUGGCUUCAGUUUGAUAAGCACUUAUCUGUAUUGCUGUUGCUAGUGAAAUGCUCUUGUUUCAGCUUCCAAUUGUCCAAUUCUUUGGACUGCCUCACGAGGUAAUUUAAUCUUGACACUUGACCUCAAAUCAGGUAGGACUACCCGCUGAAAUUA
rnacentral:misc_RNA from 1 species